CACGCCGUAAACGAUGGAUACUAGGUGUAGGGGGUAUCAACUCCCCCUGUGCCGCAGUUAACACAAUAAGUAUCCCGCCUGGGGAGUACGGUCGCAAGAUUAAAACUCAAAGGAAUUGACGGGGGCCCGCACAAGCAGCGGAGCAUGUGGUUUAAUUCGAAGCAACGCGAAGAACCUUACCUGGACUUGACAUCCCUUGCAUAGCCUAGAGAUAGGUGAAGCCCUUCGGGGCAAGGAGACAGGUGG
rnacentral:rRNA from 2 species